UCUGUGUCUUUUCUAUAUCAAUACUAUACUUAUAAAAGAGAAUAUCCAUGUCAAAACUUUUGAUUGCCAUUUUUGUUCUUCAAUCAAAAUUUUAAACAUGACAAUACUUCUUUUUAAAUUAAAUUAAAUUAAAAUUAAGAAUAAUUAAAUAUUCUUUAUGUGCAACUACCCUCAAACAACCGUUUAUGUUCCAUUGACCAAAAAAUAAUAACAAAAAAAAAAGCUUGUAUUCCACCCCUUCAUUGCCUCCUUUUAAUUAAGGCCAUUAUUACAUGUUUUAGUCAUUCAGUUACUCGUCAAAGAUCAAAUUAUUACUUCAGGAGCAUGUAAGGGAGGAGAAUAUCAAGAGAAAUAAGAGAUUUCUUUCUCUACAUUUGAUACUUCUUUUUUGACUUAUAAUCUGAUGAUUCAUUUGUUGGUCUUUGUAAGGUGUUGGUGGUGAAGAAUGAAGAGGACGCGAAUGAGGAGGUGAUUGUGACCAAGGGCAACGCCACUGUGGGUCCCUCAAUUGAAUCUAAUCAGCUGGCACAAGGACCUUUAUCGUGAAUGUACCUAAGAUGAAGAAUACAACUCUAUAAGAAUAAGGAUGCUUGCCUAAAGUCGCUUUGUAUAAGAAGGAAAAUAAUAUUCUUUCAAUUGAUGGUAAAUUGUGCCAUGGCUAGAAGCAUGCAAUUAUGUUGAAAAGCAUGUUUUUGACAAGAAGGUAUCUCAGUUUCAUAUUCUUAUGUAAUACAAUAAUUAAAAAUAUAGAAUAUUCAUGUCUCUGUAUCUUAUAUCAUUUUAUUAUGUUUGCUAGCUAAGUCUUGAUGUUUCA